UCCAACUCUGUGAGCAUGCUGUUGGUGUGUGAGUCAAACUCAUGGUCCUGGCUCGCUGGUUGCCACUAGUGUUCCCCGGCAUUUCUUCUGCAGUGGGAACCUGCCCUCUCGUGGGGGAUCACCUAAGGUAACCUUAGAUACUGCCGCCAUAAUCCAGCUGUCUCGGCAGAGGUCUGCCGCGCGCAAGAUUUCUCUUCGACGAGUGAGGGGCCCUCGUACUAAUUAGCUUGUUGGUGGGGUAACGGCCUACCAAGGCGAUGAUCCGUAGCUGGUCUGAGAGGAUGAUCAGCCACACUGGGACUGAGACACGGCCCAGACUCCUACGGGAGGCAGCAGUGGGGAAUAUUGGACAAUGGGCGCAAGCCUGAUCCAGCAAUGCCGCGUGAGUGAGGAAGGCCUUAGGGUUGUAAAGCUCUUUCACCCGCGACGAUGAUGACGGUAGCGGGAGAAGAAGCCCCGGCUAACUUCGUGCCAGCAGCCGCGGUAAUACGAAGGGGGCGAGCGUUGUUCGGAUUUACUGGGCGUAAAGGGCGCGCAGGCGGCUUAUUUUGUCAGGCGUGAAAGCCCCGGGCUUAACCUGGGAACUGCGUUUGAUACGGAUGGGCUAGAGUUCGGGAGAGGAGAGUGGAAUUCCAGGUGUAGUGGUGAAAUACGUAGAGAUCUGGAGGAACACCGGUGGCGAAGGCGGCUAUCUGGCCUCACACUGACGCUCAGACCCGAAAGCGUGGGGAUCACACAGGAUUAGAUACCCUGGUAGUCCACGCCAUCAACGAUGGAUACUUGGUGUUGGUGGUAUUGACCCUAUCAGUGCCGUAGUUACGCGAUAAGUUCCCG
rnacentral:rRNA from 1 species